rnacentral:rRNA from 1 species
GAUGAACGCUGGCGGCGUGCCUAAUACAUGCAAGUCGAGCGAACGGACGAGAAGCUUGCUUCUCUGAUGUUAGCGGCGGACGGGUGAGUAACACGUGGAUAACCUACCUAUAAGACUGGGAUAACUUCGGGAAACCGUAGCUAAUACCGGAUCAUAUUUUGAACCGCAUGGUUCAAAAGUGAAAGACGGUCUUGCUGUCCCUUAUAGAUGGAUCCGCGCUGCAUUAGCUAGUUGGUAAGGUAACGGCUUACCAAGGCAACGAUGCAUAGCCGACCUGAGAGGGUGAUCGGCCACACUGGAACUGAGACACGGUCCAGACUCCUACGGGAGGCAGCAGUAGGGAAUCUUCCGCAAUGGGCGAAAGCCUGACGGAGCAACGCCGCGUGAGUGAUGAAGGUCUUCGGAUCGUAAAACUCUGUUAUUAGGGAAGAACAUAUGUGUAAGUAACUGUGCACAUCUUGACGGUACCUACUCAGAAAGCCACGGCUAACUACGUG